CCAUCUUCCCUCCACUGCCUCCAAGUAGCUGGGGACUACAGAGAUGGGGGUGUGAAAGGAAAUGAAAUCUUGGGACCCUAAACUCAUUAAGCCAAAGGGAAAAGCUGGGCCGAGAACUGGAUGAUGCAACCUGCUUCCACCUUUUUGCUUCCUAAAUAAGAUGGCUACAAGAUGAAAAGCUAUACAUCUCUGCCAUAUUUUGCCCACAAGGAAAUUCCUAGUGAGCUUCAAGAUCUUUUAAGGUGUUUCUGUUAAAAUUUCACAAUUUCGCCAUUGCAAUGUAAAUUUAUAGCUUAUCCUUACAGGUGCAGUCAUCUCCCUGCCCACCAGACACAAAGGCAUAUCUGAUUGUUCUCCUGCCCCAUUUUGUCUAUGUUAUCUUAUGUAAAAUACAGAUACCCUGCAUUUUUCCUCUGCCCCAUUUGUCUAUAUCACCUUAUAUAAAAAAAUGCAGAGUCACUGAG
rnacentral:lncRNA from 10 species